rnacentral:lncRNA from 1 species
UUUUUGGAGCUUGGUGCACGAUUUUAACCUAGUGCAAGUAAAAAAAAAAAGAAAAAGAACGAGAAAUAAAGAACACAAAAGGAACAAGAUAGGAUGAUAACAGGAAACAAAAGAUAAAGGGAUAGAAAACUGAUUUUAGAACCUGUGCUCUAAUACCAAAUGAUGCGAACCUCAAUCGACACGCUUUGAGACCCAACAAACAGUAUUGGAAUAAUUGCCCAAGAAAGCUAAAAUACAGAUUUUUGAUAGAACCCUGACCCAACGUUUAUAAGUGAAACACGAACCAAAAGUAUAAGUAACAGACCUUGACCCAAUGAUUACAAUGGAAUCACGAACCGCAUGUAUAAAGUUUGAACGCCAUAAGAAAGAAUUUCUGAUAAGUUCACAGUUCUUGAAGAACCAAAAGAAGAGCAAAGCCUCACAUUUUCUGAUUGUUUUAUUCAAUAAUUAUUAUCCCCUAUUACAAUGAGUGCAUGUUAUUUGUAUGUCAUGAAAAAAACUUACUAAAUAUUAAAACCCUAAAUAAAAGUUGAUUUGGUCUGAAAUUGGCAGAUCCAAAAUAGGAAAAUAGCUAAAAAAAACCUACUAAAUAUUAAAACCCUAAAUAAAGGUUGAUUUGAUCUAAAACUAGCAGAUCCAAAAUAGGAAAAUAGCUAAAAAAAAACGUUCUAAAUAAUUAAAGCCUAAAAUUAAGGUAGAUUUGGCCUGAAUUUAGAAGCUUUAGAAUAGGAAAUAACUUAUAUGAAGUUGGAAAGUCAAUCAGUCAUUAAUCCACGCCAUAAAUCAUGCCCAAUCAAGCCAAAUUAGUCCUCAAUAGCUUGGAUUAAAUUUAUUACACCUUCAUCUUCUUUUGGGCCAAGUUUGAAUGUCCUGCGUUAGAAUCAGCCCAAAUCUCUUGAAUUAGCCCAUUAAGUGCUUCUUUGAUCUUCUUCGAUCUUGCUUUAGUAAUAGGCCUAACUGGAACAUGCAAUGGAUCCUUGAAUACUUGUUGAUUCUCAUCAGCUUGCAUUUGUGAAAUCAUUUAUAACACUCCCCUUGGGAUGUCCACCAUGCUAAGAUGAAUAUGCCUUAAAAAACCUUGCUUGUAAAAAACCUUAUGGGAAAAAUGUAAUGAAGGUAAAUGAGUACAAUAUUCUUCUAAUUCUUUAGAUUACUUUUAGUUUGUUAGGAUUACUUUAGUAAAGACUUUGUUGAUAAAAUCUAAUGAGACAAAACUUGUUGAAGGAAAAAAUGGGACUUUAACAUCCUUUUAUAAACUUACUCCCUCUCAUAUUAAUAUCCUUGAGUUGAUGCAUUCCAAUCUUAUGUUAUUGACCUCUUUAAUAUUAAGGUUGACAAUGACUUUGUGAAUAAACCUACUAAAUUAUCACUUGAACAUAUUUGUUGAAUAUUAAUUUAACCACUCUUAUCGAGUUGAUAUGUAUAAAAAAUUUUAGUGAAAUAUAUCUAGUUUUAUUUCCUUUAAUAUAACCCCCUUUUAUCUAUGCAAUGAAUGCAACGUUAUCUUCAUAUAAUAUUGUUGAGUUGCCUUUGAUAGAGAAGUCUACAUGAUUCCUAAAUAAGUUGGACCAUAGAUUUUAGUCAUAUAUAUUCAUAAUUUACCUCAUGUAUUGUAAGUAUUUCUAAAUGAAUUGACGAUAUGGUCACCAUUAUUUAUUUGACAGAUCUCCAUGAAAUAAUAGUACCACCAUAAUUAAACACAUACAUGUUUGUGACCUAGCCUCAUGUGGGUCUGAAAGGCAUCCUGCAUUAGCAUAUUAAAUUAAUUAUAGCUUUGAUUAUCUUAAGUAAAAUAAACUCAUAUCAUUAGUUUCGCAAAGAUUGCAUAAUAUAUGUUUGGUACCAUUACAAAGUCUUCAAAUUAGAGUCUAAAUAUAUCUUGUUAAUAAAUUGAUAGAAAAAACAAUAUCUGAGUGUGUACAAUUAGCAAUAUACAUAAGUGUACCAAUAACACUAAUAUAUGGUACUUCAGGAUUAAGUAAUUUUUUAUUUUUUUUGCAAGGACAAAAUGAGUCAUUUUUCACUUCAAGUGAUCAAAUAAUUAUUAGAGAACUUAAAGAAUGUGCUUAAUUAAUAUGAAAACGCUUCAACAAAAUUUUAAUGUAUGUUUAUUGAUAUAUUAAAACUCUAAUUAGAAAAUUCUAGAUCUGCAAGUCGAAACAAUUUCUUUUUUUUUUUUGCUAAAAUUUUUCAUCUUAAAUUCUUUUUUCAAAUAAUUUGUCAAGAUUUAAGUCAUCAACAUAUAUUGCAAUAAUUGGAAAUUUGGUUCUAAUUUCUUAAUAAAAAUGCAUGGAUAUAUAGAAUUAUUCACAUACCCUUUUUUAGUAGGUAUUCACUAAGACGUUUAUGCCACAUGUGUUCGAAUUGCUUUAAUCUAUAUAAGGAUCAUUAUAACUUGAUCAAGUACAUUCUAUAAGGCUUUGUAUUAUUUGCUUCAAACAAUUUAGAUCAUUUUCAUAUAUAUAUCAUUAUAUGUUGUAAUAACAUCCAUGAGACACAUAUCUAGUUCUUUAAAGACUAUCAAUAUAAUUAAAAAGUGAAAUGUGAUUGCAUCCAUAACAAGAAAGUAUGAAUCUAUUAAUUGAUUUAAAAGUUGUUUCUAAAAAUGUUGCUAAACAAAUUCUAAACUUUUUGUUUCUUGGCUUUGAAAAUAACAAACAAAAAACAAAAGAUAACAUUUUGUGUGUGUAUAUAUAUAUAAUGAGAUAUAAUGUGCCAAACAUUUUAUAAGGCUAAUUUUUUUUCCCUUUACUAAGAUAAAUAAUUCUAAAAUUUUGUUUGAGUAAUGAAAGAAUAAUCGUUAUUCACUUUGAUUUUCAAAUAUCAUCUACUUACAAAAUUAAAAUCUGUUUGACAUUGAUUAUAAGAUGUGGUUUUAAUUUAAAAAGUAUAUUAAAAGAAAAAGUGUUUGACAAAAUUUAAGAAUCAUUUUUAAAAAAAUUGAAAAAUCAUUUGUAAUUUUGAAAUAUCAUUUGUGGUGUUUUAUGAAAAAAAUGCUUAAUGGACAAUUUUUCUAAAAACACUUUGAAUAGAAAUACUGUCAAACACAUUCUUAAUCACACGUAUGUUUAGUUUCUGGUAUCAAGAGAACAAAAAAUAAAACUUUGUUUCGGAGUGUAAUUAUGAGAAGGUUACAAUCCUUUCUAUGUUUGAAUACAAAUUUGACUGAAGUAGUUUUUUUAUUUUUUAUUUUUUAUUUUUUCCUUUCUUAUUUUCUCUUCCCAACAAUCCUACAAAUAUCAUAAAUGUCUUUCAUAAAAAUCAAAGGAAAAAAUGAUUAGAAUCAUAAACCUCUGUCAAGGUUGAAUCUACAAAUAUUAUAAAUGUCUUUCAUAAAAAUCAAAGGAAAAAAUGAGUAUAAUCAUAAACCCCAAUCAAGGUUGAAUCAAGGGAGAGCAAGUAGAAUCUCCAACAUCCAUGUCUUUCUUCUCCACAUCAUUAGCUUUUGCCCACAAAAGUAGGUAAAGACCCACAAUCACCAGCACUGCUCCCACAAUACUACAAACCACAACCAUCAAAACUACUUUAAUUAAUUAAUUAAAGAGCUACAAGCAUAUGAUAUAGCAAUUACUAUUUUCACAAACAAUUUGUAUUUUUUGGUAGAUUUUUACUACAAAUCUUUUGCAUUUACUAAUAAUACAUUUGAUUUCCCGAGACCGGAUAUAAAGAAUAUGGCAUGAUACAAACAAGUGAAACUAAGAUACAAAACAAUAAGUAUAAAGUAAUAAGAUGUAAAUGUACUUUUGACGACAUCUAAUUAAUCGUAUUUUUUGGAUAGGUACCUCUUCAUU